AGAGUUUGAUCCUGGCUCAGGAUGAACGCUAGCUACAGGCUUAACACAUGCAAGUCGAGGGGAAACGACAUCGAAAGCUUGCUUUUGAUGGGCGUCGACCGGCGCACGGGUGAGUAACGCGUAUCCAACCUGCCCAUCACUUGGGGAUAACCUUGCGAAAGUAAGACUAAUACCCAAUGAUAUCUCUAGAAGACAUCUGAAAGAGAUUAAAGAUUUAUCGGUGAUGGAUGGGGAUGCGUCUGAUUAGCUUGUGGCGGGUAACGCCACAAGGCGACGAUCAGUAGGGGUUCUGAGACGGAAGGUCCCCCANAUUGGAACUGAGACACGGUCCAAACUCCUACGGGAGCA
rnacentral:rRNA from 1 species